rnacentral:snRNA from 1 species
AUACUUACCUUGUUCCGAGGAGGCCAGCUCAUGAAUUGGCUUCCUCAGCAUGGAAGGCCUGCAUUGCACAACGCGGAGUCGUUUCCUUGCUCUAUUGUCCUUCGGGGCCAUAGGGGGCGGAAUUUUUGAUUUUGAACCACACUUUUCAUUAUGUUGGUGGC